rnacentral:rRNA from 1 species
GACGAACGCUGGCGGCGUGCUUAACACAUGCAAGUCGAAUGGAAAGGCCCUGCUUUUGUGGGGUGCUCGAGUGGCGAACGGGUGAGUAACACGUGAGUAACCUGCCCUUGACUUUGGGAUAACUUCAGGAAACUGGGGCUAAUACCGGAUAGGAGCUCCUGCUGCAUGGUGGGGGUUGGAAAGUUUCGGCGGUUGGGGAUGGACUCGCGGCUUAUCAGCUUGUUGGUGGGGUAGUGGCUUACCAAGGCUUUGACGGGUAGCCGGCCUGAGAGGGUGACCGGCCACAUUGGGACUGAGAUACGGCCCAGACUCCUACGGGAGGCAGCAGUGGGGAAUAUUGCACAAUGGGCGGAAGCCUGAUGCAGCAACGCCGCGUGCGGGAUGACGGCCUUCGGGUUGUAAACCGCUUUCGCCUGUGACGAAGCGUGAGUGGCGGUAAUGGGUAAAGAAGCACCGGCUAACUACGUG